UGCGUUCGGAUAAGAGGGGGUAGGCAGGGAAGCGUGACCACGGUGCUGUCCGAUUCUUGGUACGGCUUCUGCUGCAGAACAUCUACCCACAACUGCUGUAGCAGGAAUCCCAGUAUUAUCACGCAUGGCACGGUUAUUAAACUUCUUACUAAUAACCUAUCCCACCAAUUUUUAAACCACUGGAACAGUUUUAGUGUUUCAUGACCAUAACGAGAGUUCCACGGAGUUUGGCCAAGCGCAAACUUUCUGACUCGCUUUCGUAAAAGGCAGAACGACGUGUUAAUGUUGACCCAAGUGUUCAGAAACAACGUUUGAAAUGUGAAACGAAGCUAUUAAAGUCUUAGUCUUGUCAGGCAGGGCCUGUUUCCACAUGUUCCACGGCAGUUUAGCUCGAGUUAGCCACAUUUGAAGCUAACGAGCCUGGGCGUCUGUGUCGCUGAACUCUUGAGCUACCGAACAGUGGCGUUAAUUUGGCGACGUGUUUUUUUAGAAAGUCUUCCCAGGCUUUUGCUCCACGUUUGUCUUUGUGUAAUGGCGUCUUAAUCUUUUGUUUUUAUGGCUGUGGUUGUGUUCACCCGGGGCUGUGAGAGUUGUUACCCAGCGGCCGAGCGGAACAGCGCGGUGGAAUGUGGCUGCUUGUUGCCCAAACAAUGGCCAGCGAAGGGAGGGAGCGAGGGGGAGUUCAUGGAGAUAAACUUUUUCGUUAAACGCAGCUCCGUCGUGUUUUAGCUGCUUAAACGGGUGCCUUUACUUAAACCUUCUCUUCGAUUAAAUUCCACCCCCUCCCCAAGGCAUGCGUCGUGUUUUUAUUUAUUUUUUCACCUCGUUCAGCCUAAAAAAUUCGGCCGUAAAUCGCGUCGCCUCGUCUAGAUACACCCGGUCACCUGUUUUCCUUUCUUCCUCCUCUUAUUCUCCAUCUUAAAUAAGUGACGUUUCUGUUGAUAGUAUCAUUUAAUAACCUGAUGCGAGUGAGGGACCUAUGGUUCAUGAUAGUGAGCUAGGGACACUAGAGAGCGCCACAGCCCCCAGCCACACCGUCCCCACGUUGGUUACAGAGGACCGACCGGGACAAGACGAUUAUUACGAAUAUUAAGCAACGAUUUAACGCAGCACAAAUCACAGAAAGACUUGGCGAUCGCACCAGUCAACACGCACACUCUGAGGUUUCGGUUGGAUCUUUAGUGAGUAGUUGUUAAACCGGUCUGAGGGAAGAUUUCCAGGCUGUUUUUAAUCUAUUAAUACAAGGCACAUGUUUAUUUAUUUUUUUUAAAUAAAAUGAAACCAUAAUAAGGAUAGCGUUAUCAUCUUCUUCCUCCAGCAAACCCAACACUAUCCGACUGUAGUGACUUACUGUUUCCUUCCUCUGGAAAAAUACCACCUUUUAAAAUCUGAUUUAGGCACGUAGAGGGCUGAAACCUAGUCCUUAAUACGCAUUUGUUAGUUGUUUAUCCUGAGAAAUCUGGGUGUGAAGGUUUUUUUUUAUACAUGCAAACGUAUCUAAUUCCAUAAAAGCUUGAAAAAGUUUACCACGCUCAGAAAAUAUUGGAUAAAUAUGCCUGUUCUACCCAAAAAGCAUUUUUGGUUGUAAAACGUUUUGCAACAGAAAGGUCACCAUAGGUUUUGUAAUAAAUUACAAACUUCAGAAGAUCAAAACACUAUCUGUGAUUAAAAAAACUUCAAAUUGGUAGUACUUUGUUUUUCAGGGUUCAGAAAGUAUGUUGCAGAACCCCAGCCACCACACCCUUUUCUGUUUUGGAGCGCCCAGUCUCACUUCUCUAAAGCCACACAUGUCUGAGGUUUACAAGCGUUUCCACAGCGCCCGUCCAAACUUUACCCUGCUGCCAAAAAUGACGUUCAUGUGAGAUGAUGGCCAUCUCAGUGCAGAUGAGGUUUGGUUGCUCUGUCUUCAGUUUAAAAAUAAGAAAAUGGCAUUCCUGCUUAAAAUACUACCUUUAAAGUGUGUCAUGAGGUGUGCGUCUAGAUUUAAGUGUUACUGUAAGUGGUCUCCACUAACUCCCGUUAGCCACGGUGGCGGCUCGGAGAGAAAUCUCAUCUUGUGAUUUUGUUAAGUGGAUUAUAUUGGGUCUGACAGGUUAUUUUGGUUAACAUGUGUUAUUUUGCCCUUGGUGCACUUCCUGGUCAGGUUUCUCAUUGAUGGCAGUUGACUUGUAACAUCAGCAGAUAAAGCAGAUGAUACUGAAAAUGCCUUUGAUGGCUUUAACAGAAUCAAGGGAGGGAGGGUUAAUAUUUAAAUAAAAAGUGCUAGACACAAUAGAAAGUUCAGCUUCUUCCUGUUGCGUUAAACUUGCUGCAUACUGAAAGCAUGUCCGUUUUACGUUUAAAAUUUGCUAAACCGAUAGAAAACCUUUUAAUGCGUCCGUUAGCUCAGAGAGAACCGUGGUGUGAACGCUUGCACUUUGUCCAUCUCACAGCAGCUGCACAUCUCCCUCACACACCCAACAUUUUUCACAUGUCUACACAGCUGUUUCCACAGCGGAAGAAAAUUGAUACCACCCUUGUGUGCGUCCAGUGCUCCCACCCUGCUCCGCUAGCAUGUGUUCACAACCGUCCAUCUUACUUUCUCGAUAAGUUACGGUGUCCCUCAAGGUCAAGCUGAGCGACUGGCAGGCCUCUUCUGAAAUCCCCGUGCGUUGCAGUUGUUCGUCUGUUAGCUGACACCUGCUCUGCAGUUUUUAAAAUUUAUUUCUUUUUACGAUCUGCCUGCCAACAAGCUGCUUCAAAUGGAUUUUUUUACUUGGCAGAUGGAGACAAACCAUAUAACAUCAAGUGUAGAACAGUGUUCUGGGGUGUUCCAGAGAGAGACUACACUUGUAUUUGGGGUUUACAUUAUUCAGAUUGCUCUUCAAAGUUUCCCUUUUCUUUUCCGCUUGUUAUGAGUGUGUUAAGACUAAAUGUUGGAGUAGUGACUUUAUUGCUAACUUAAUUCUGAUACUUUAGUUUAGAAACACUGAGUGCAGACCCACACGCUGUGCAGAAUCUGGUGAUGUUUGAAGCAGGAUGGUAGUUGCUCAGCACAGAUGUCCAACACCUGUGGGUGGAAAAGCAAUCAGGUUCAGAUGGUAGCUUCCGAAACAAAAACCUCUAUCUGGUGGUCCAGCUUUCAUACAUUGCACCAGACAAAAGGACAUUUCUGAAACUUUGUGAUUUUAAGGAGAAACCUUAAUGUACCAAGUUUUACCAGCAAGCCUGAUUUUGAGUUCAGUUUAGUGGGCUGUUGUUUCACACAGCCCUGUAGGACUAAACCCUAUGUCCACUGUAAUGUUCCUCAGCUACAUCAUUGCACACAUUUGCAUCCUGCCUGCGUGUCUCUCUGUCAUGAUUUCGACAGGAUGUUCCUGAUAGAGCUGUCUGCAUUAGGAGGACAAACUGUCUCCUGUGCAUCGUGGUGGCUUUGUAGAGAACUGGUCCUUUGGGAACAGCUGUUUAGAGAACAGGUUGUGAUGAACUGCAGAACAUUGGAAGUCUGUUUUCUACCUGCUGCCCCUUUUUUCUGUCAAUCAUUGUUAAGUUUUCCCCUUUUAUAUCUUUACACGCACCUGACAUCAGAUUGCCAUGGCACCUCUUUUCCUUUCUGACCUUUUGAACCCCUCUGUAUGGAUUAAGACCUCCAGCAACCUUUGACUUUCCAUUCAUUUAACAGCUAACGAGAUCAAGCACAGAGAAAGAUACCACUUAAAGCCUAAAGAGAACACGGAUGAAGACGGACAGAAAAGGAGGAUUGGAGGUGUUAGGCCAGGACUGUUGCAAGAAGAAACCUGUUCUGCCCUUACCCCAUUUCAUUUCUCCUCACACCCUCUCCCAAAGCAGCACUUAUAAGCUGAGAUUUAAUUAACUAAGAGCCAUUCAAUAAGCUGGUUUACUGAGCUUCAGUCACCAGUGAGGAGACACAACUGGAGACUUUGUGUUGUCUUUCGUUGUCUGCCACCACCAUGCGCUCAUGUGGUUCCUCUUACAGACUCUCCUCGUUGAUAAUACAUUAGGUGGAGGUGCGAGCCUGACAUGAGGAGGUGGGAAGCUUUCCACGGGACGCAGGAUUGCCUUGCCUUGGCUUUCUUCCUGUCAUGGCUGUUCUUCAUGUUGUUUCUAGCCUGUAGCUCCACCACAGCAUCUGCAGGAGUUCUAGUCUGUUCUGACUCCAACUUUGGACACCAUUUCCUUCUCUUGCCUGGCUCUAACCCAAGCAAUGCCACUCCUAUCUAGGAUGCAUGAUAAAGUCAUCCACCGACAGCUCCUGGAGCUUAUCUAAGGCUUCAAUCCCACGAGUGCUGGGGCCCCUUAUCACCGCCGCCUCUGCCUGGCCUCCUGUCUUUACGCCCUGCUCUAACGGCCUGCCUGGCUAUCUGACUGUCGCCAAGACGGAGUGUCUUCCCGUAUAUACUGCUGCCUGUAAGACAGCACAUUGCAGGGGUUUGUUUUAUCCCCCCCCCCCCCUCCAGCAUUAGAAACACAGAAAUUACCUUGUAAUGAACAAAAAUGGGAUUAUUUCUGAAAGUAUUUACAGUUGUUUUGUGGUAAACUGAGUCGUGGCACAAGAGGAAGAAGCAAAAGAGGAUGUUGCAAUUUAUUACAAAAGCUUCUUGACUCAGACUUUUCUUUAAAUGAAGUUUUAUUUUUUACUGGAGCUCCAGUUGUCAGAGUUUUAGUCUUUUAUUCACACUUUGUCUGAAACCACAAAAAAAGAAACAUCUACUGGAAGUUUUGCCUUUUUCAGACGGGAAAGCACCAAGGAGAAGGCGAGUCGGUGGUUUGUUUUUCCCUCUGACAGACAUGGAGAGGGAGGGGAGCUGUUUUCCUGCUGUGGUGACACGAGAAGCUUGCUUUCUUAUUUUUUACAGAUACUGUUCUGUCUCUGAAAAUCUCUUUGAGUUACUUGGAUUACAUCAUAAAUCAUCAUUCAACACAUAUCUCCAUUAACACAGUUCUGUGCGUAAGGAUCACAUACACAAUGUGUUCCAGUCAGAAGUUAGGGCGCACCCUUUUACAUUCUUUAAAUGUUCUGAAUAGUUCUCCCAGUCGGAUUUCUCAUCAUGUCCCUGUUUUACUUCUGAACGGCUUCAGUGUCCACCAGUGAACUUUCUGAAGAAUACUACUCGGUAUUUAUCAUCGUUUCUCUGUUUUUAUGCCACAGAGGCUGAAAUAACGUUGAAUGGUCUCUCUUCUGCUCCAGCUCGCCCCCUCUUCUUUAGGAGGCAGCCAGCUCAGGAAUUUUACCAGGAGCACAGUCAGAGCACUUAACCUCCAGCCUGGUGUUUGUUUUCCACACAUACACUCACGGUGCGCUUUAGCUCUGCUUAACUGAAGAGUCACACAGUGAAGAGUUCUAGCCUUAAAAAUCCCAAAUAUAUAAAAAGAUAUGUUGUUUCCAGGUAUUUUUCUUUUUUAAGCCACUUAAUUUUUAAAUCUUGAUUAUAACAAAACUAAAAGUGUACUAAUGCUACAUUCAUAUUCCCAAGUAGCUACAUUACUGUGAAACAGUUUUCUAUUUGAAACUAAACAACUUAAGAUGCCUUUUCUGUUUCAUGAUUAAAUAUGAUGGCUAACUGUUUAGAAUCAGUUUGCUAAAAUGUUCCAUUUUGUUUUUGUUUUUUUUUUUUUCAAAAAGGUUGGCACAAUUUAAGACAAGGAUUUCUGUUGUUUUUCUCUUCUUGUAACAGAUGUGUUUGUGUUUCUCUGAGAAAAGUAGAAUCUGAAGUAAUUCUUAUAUUCAUGCCUCAUUGAAACCAGCAAACACACCUCUUGAUGUUUUACCAGAUUAAUUUGGUCUUUUGAUCUCGGAUGGAGGUAGAUGUAAUCUGUCUUUUUAUGUAAAGGCCUCGAGUGAAAUUUUCUGCCCCGAGGCUUCGUUUUGGGGAUGUCCCGAUCCGAUCACAUGAAUGGAAAUCUGCCCCGAUCACGUGGCUUCAGACUGAUGGGGACUCGGGCUUUACUUCCCGAUCCGGACUGGAUACUGGGUUCUAAUUACAGGAGAGCAACUUGGUUCUCCUUAAAGGGGCAUUAUGGAAGUUUGACAGCCAAAACAUGUAUAGAAAUAAUAAAUUUCUUCUUCAUACAUUCUCCUGCAAUGCCCUGGUUCUGUAGAAUAAGCCCUGGUAUUUUUACUGUGAUUGCCUGUUUUUCUGUAAAAUCACAGAAAAAGAAAUGCUCGGGUCGAGCAGGCUGCUUCAUGCGCGUUCACGCUCAGGCAUAGCCCGUAGCAUUUGCUAUCCGUAGCUUAGUAGUAAGAUGCCCAAAUUUUUAUUUGAGACUCGCCAAACGGCAUUCAAUUCACAGAUAAAAAAGAUGUGGGUUCAACUUUCAUUUUGGAACAAUUUUUCAAGCAAGGGAUGGGCAUGAUCUGAGCAUGCAGGAGGACUGACCCAUCAUAAACCUUUGUCGGCUGUGCUGAAGAGAAAGGUACAGAACCAAAUUAAUUAAUUAGCUGCGCGUUCUCCUGUCCUCUGUCCUGCGGGCCACAUGCACACACACACACACACACAGGACUGUCUCAGCUGUUAUUUUCGUUAAGGAGGGUGCACGUACAAUAUGCGCGCCUCGUGCACGAGCCUACUAUUGAAGCUGCCGUUACACUUUUGGCCUGAGGGGGCAAUCGCGGGCAUAAAAAUUCAAAACUCCGUAAAUUCCCUUUAAAGGUUGUCCAGCUCCCCUGAUGCCCUUAACUUACACACCCAGAAGGAGCACUAAAGAGAUCCAGUUUUUACCUAUAUUAUAUUAUUUAUAUGGACUCAGAGUAGUGGGGAUUAUUUUAAGCAGAGAUGCAGAGAGCGGCAGAAAGACCGCUGAUUAUUCAUGAGCUGCAUUCUGCACACUGCGACAGUAAAAUUUUCUGUUUCUAAGUGGCGUCACCAAAAAAUAUAUAAUUAACACACAGUCGUUCGUGUCCGUUCAUUUUCUCUCUGGUAAGUUCUGUCUGUAUUUGAGCAUGACGUGUGGACGCGCUCGCGCUGCUGCGCUCGUCACUGGCGCAGCCGAGCAGCGCACACUUUGCUUUUUUUGCGGUCAAUAGAUCAAUUUGAUCUGCUAGUUAAAAAGUUACUUGUGAGGUGAAAAAGAAAGAAGCAGGCAGGAGUUUUUCUGGAGGACUGGGAGAUGCAGGAAGAUCAGAGACAGACAGGACAGGAAGAUAGGAAAAUAAAAACCAAGAAAACAAGACAAAGUUCUUAAAAAAUAAAAUGUAGGUAGAUUUAACCCACUACACGUUUGUGCCUGUAUAAAGCAAUAAUUUAUCAGCAUGUAGUAUUUAUAUAUUUGAUACAAUUCAGAUCAUCUUCAAAACUCCGUCCCAUGCCCAGGGACGUAUCUAAGCAUUUUGGGGGGCGAGGCAAAAUAGACCCCUGCCAGGUAUUUUAAGUUGAUGUGCUAUCUGUUUUUAUAUUAGACUUUUUAUAUUUGCAUUAAAAUCCAAAAGUGAAGAAUUUAUGUUCAUCUUUAUUUAAACGUUCUCUCGUGUUUUUACAAUCGUUGCGAUCAGACAAUGGUGGCUUGUGUAGCUUGGCACCAGUUCCAUGUGCUGCACAGUUGUAUUGUACUCUGGCUCUUUGCCCUGUAGUCUUGUGCUCUAAUGUAAAACACGGCUUCCUUAGCAUACUUCAUGCACACGUGAAACAAAUCCAGCUGUAGCAUCACAUGAAAGGAAUCAGAUUUCUGCGCAGCACGACAAACCUGCUUGGCUCCAGGACUGUUUCUGUUUUUACUCAAGACGGAUCAUUUUUGAUUCUUCGUACAUCUGUCCUUAUCUGUUCUGUGGUUGGGAAACAAUAGAUAGUUUAGAGUGAUUAGGCUUUGAUUGCGAGACAAAGAGUCUCUGUUUCAUGCCGUUAAACCCGAAGAACUGACAUCGAAAUGGACAGAUAACCAGCAGGAAAGAAUGUGUUGACUAAAAGGCUGGCAAGCAUGACCCUCGUCCCUGCUCUGUUGAUUGAUUGCGCUGACUGCAAGCUAAAAACAUGCAGCCCAAGACUGGUCCAUGUGACACAGAGCAUAGAAUUCCUGUGUGCUGUGAAUGAGGUCACCUGGUUAGUUAUGAAUGAGGUCACUGACCCCUCCUCAGCUCUACAGUCUAACCCUCUGUGUCCCCACAGCAAAUGUUACACAAUGGCUUUUUGUGCCUUAAUGGAGCACUCACCAUGUCGAGCCUGCAAGCUCACAGAAACGUAAAUAAGCUGACCACGACUUUGCAUUUCUUUUCUGUAUGUUGUAUUUAACACUCAGGUAAUUACUUUGGUUGGAUCACUAGUAGACAAGAAGUUUUAUUUUCUAUCUUUAAGUACAAGAAGUUUUAUUUUCUAUCUUUAAGUACUCAUGUACUUCCUGAAAUGUGGUGGGAUAAUGUAUGGAAUAGGAAAACUGGUGUGCCUGCACUUUUCUGUUUAGUUGAAUUACAGCUUUUGUUGUGGAAUUUAGUCAUGAAUGCAUUCAGUGCAUUGUCAUGAGAUAACCUUGUGAUGCUUACACUCUUUAAAAUGAUAAGGAUCAGUCGAUCAUAAAUACGUUAAUCAGGCUCCUAUUCAUCUCAAUACAACUCAGUGGUCCUUCCAUCUGCUGAGAUGAGCCCACGUCUGUGUUUUAACUAAUUCAGCGUGUUUAAAUCACAAUUAAAUCUGCAUCUGAGCUUUCAGUCUUAGUGAAGUCUGUAUUUUUAAGUCUAGUUCAAAUACUUAACAGAUGUUCACUAAACUGUUUAUCUUAUCAGUUUAAACUAAUGCCUGUUAAAUUCUGAGCACAAUUAUUUUUAUGCCAUUUUAGCCACACUUACAUUUUGCACAGCAAAGUUCUCCUAUACAAGUGAAGUCCUUUUUGGGAGUUUCAUGUUUGUGUUGUGUUCAGGUACCAUUUUCCUUCCAGAUGUUGACGACAUCGAGGCACAAAAUUUGGAUCUUGUCUAGGGCUACCUCCAACUGGUAUAGUAAACUUCUGGUAAGCUUCUAAAACAAGUGAGGACCAAAAAAAAAAGUCAUCACUUUGAAAAAUGUCCUCACAUUGCAGGGAAAAUGGUCCACAGUAUGUAGUAUGUACAAGAACACACACGCACGCACACGCACACACACACACACACACACACACACACACACACACUAAAUGUUAUUUCAUGUUGUGGUGGUGAAAUGGGGCCUGGUAGGUCGUUGUCGUGGUAUCCUGGGUUGAGCAGCUUGAUCAUCUCUUUGAAACCUUGAUCGCUGACCAUGGACAAGAGUCUCGUGACCAACAUGUUCACCAUGGCCUCGGUCAGGAUGUUGGCUUGCUAAGGUGUGCACAUAACAAACUCGUUCAUUGAAAAGGAGCACUUGUAGUAACACCGCAAUGUGGCGGGAUCAAAUAAAUCAUUAGCGUUUGUAAUUCAGGGUUUUUCCUGCAUUCAAAUUUGCGUGGCGGCCGCCUCCAGCUAAUUUUGUGCUGCCCCCAGCUAUAUGGAUGUUAUUUUAACUGCAGUUGCAGCGUUGCGCCACUUCACAGGCGCUGUAUCAGAUCAGUCCACCGAAAAGCACUAAAACCGCUGCAGACAAAGAUCAAAAGUUGCUUUUCUCGCUAGUUGGUACAUAUCUGUGGUUGGUGCUAUUGACGUCCUGAUUUUCCCCCAGGCUCUUCCAUAUCAGAGCAGGACUGUACAGUGCGACGAGAAAAAAAAAACAGUCUGUGCGUGUCUGUCUAUUUUUAAACGUAGCACUUUUUGUUUUAAACUCAGUGACACACUUUGCAGGGGGAUUUGGCAUUUAAUUUUUCUUGGCAUCUGGAAAAACAUCUCCUUCUGCCCCCCUUUAUUUUGGUCCAUGAUCAUUACUGGGCUGGACCUAUUAAAAACGUUCUACACCCCUGCUUAGUAGACUUAAUGAAGUAUUUUUAAGCCAGUAUAAAAAUGACUGAAACACAAAUUUACAUAUUUGGCAUUGUUGACCAAUAUCUUUGAUUUAAUUUAUUUGUUAAGAACAUCAAGAUUCAUUACAGUGAACAUUAUAAUAAAGAAAAUUUUUCUAGUGCAGAGCGGAGACAACCCAUAGAAGCACUGAUUUGAUCUCAUUUCAGAGAAAAAUAGAACAGGUCAGAUGAACCUAAUAAAUAAAAUUACUAACAAACUCAGGAAUCUGUUUCUUUGCUUCAUUGUACUGGUGCUGAAAAUAUCACUAAUGUGGAUCAUAGGAGAUACACAGAUGACUGCACCUCUUAUUUAUUAUUUGGAAAUUAGUGGGUGUGGUUUACAUCAAUACAUUAUUUUAAAUCUGAAAUUGAUAUGGACUGAUCAGAAGUUUCUAUGUGUAUUGUUUAUUUGAAAACUAUUUACAGAGCGGCGUCAGAACUGAGAUUAAAUAUUUUUUUAACACAGUAGUAAAGGAACUAUUACAGAACAAGUUUUUCAGUAAAAUUAGAACAUUAAUAUUUAAGUGCAUGAAUUAAUGCAUCUGAACUCAUGCAGUAGGAACUAGGAAAUAUGAAAUACUAGAGCCAUUUUAUUUUAAUUUGAUUAAACUGAUUUUUUCCUAACGUUGUUGGCAUUUUUCCCACCCACAGUUAAACAAAACAAUGUUGAUUGAGGUGUGUGUGUGUGAGAGAGAGAGAGCGAGAGAGGGAGA